GGAGGGUGCAAACGUUGUUCGGGAAUCACUGGGCGUAAAGGGCGCGCAGGCGGACCUGGUAAGUCAGGAGUGAAAACUCCGGGGGGCUCAACUCCGAGCCUGCUUCUGAAACUGCAAGUCUUGAGGGCCGGAGAGGAGAGUGGAAUUCCUAGUGUAGCGGUGGAAUGCGUAGAUAUUAGGAAGAACACCAGUGGCGAAGGCGACUCUCUGGACGGUUCCUGACGCUGAGGCGCGAAAGCUAGGGGAGCAAACAGGAUUAGAUACCCUGGUAGUCCUAGCCGUAAACGAUGAGUGCUAGGUGGUGGUGGUUUCAACGCCUUCACUGCCGGAGCUAACGCAUUAAGCACUCCGCCUGGGGAGUACGGCCGCAAGGUUG
rnacentral:rRNA from 1 species